UACCCGGGGAUCCGAUUCCUACGGGAGGCAGCAGUGGGGAAUAUUGCACAAUGGGCGAAAGCCUGAUGCAGCGACGCCGCGUGAGGGAUGAAGGCCUUCGGGUUGUAAACCUCUUUCAGCAGGGAAGAAGCGCAAGUGACGGUACCUGCAGAAGAAGCACCGGCUAACUACGUGCCAGCAGCCGCGGUAAUACGUAGGGUGCAAGCGUUGUCCGGAAUUAUUGGGUGUAAAGAGCUUGUAGGCGGUUUGUCGCGUCUGCUGUGAAAUUUCGGGGCUCAACCCCGAACUUGCAGUGGGUACGGGCAGACUAGAGUGUGGUAGGGGAGACUGGAAUUCCUGGUGUAGCGGUGAAAUGCGCAGAUAUCAGGAGGAACACCGAUGGCGAAGGCAGGUCUCUGGGCCACUACUGACGCUGAGAAGCGAAAGCUGGGGAGCGAACAGGAUUAGAUACCCUGGUAGUCCAUGCCGUAAACGUUGGGAACUAGGUGUGGGCCUCAUUCCACGAGGUCCGUGCCGCAGCUAACGCAUUAAGUUCCCCGCCUGGGGAGUACGGCCGCAAGGCUAAAACUCAAAGGAAUUGACGGGGGCCCGCACAAGCGGCGGAGCAUGCGGAUUAAUUCGAUGCAACGCGAAGAACCUUACCAAGGCUUGACAUGUGCCGGAAAAGUGCAGAGAUGUGCUCCCCGCAAGGUCGGUACACAGGUGGUGCAUGGUUGUCGUCAGCUCGUGUCGUGAGAUGUUGGGUUAAGUCCCGCAACGAGCGCAACCCUCAUUCUAUGUUGCCAGCACGUGAUGGUGGGGACUCAUAGGAGACUGCCGGGGUCAACUCGGAGGAAGGUGGGGAUGACGUCAAAUCAUCAUGCCCCUUAUGUCUUGGGCUUCACGCAUGCUACAAUGGCCAGUACAAAGGGCUGCGAUACCGUAAGGUGGAGCGAAUCCCAAAAAACUGGUCUCAGUUCGGAUUGGGGUCUGCAACUCGACCCCAUGAAGUCGGAGUCGCUAGUAAUCGCAGAUCAGCAACGCUGCGGUGAAUACGUUCCCGGGCCUUGUACACACCGCC
rnacentral:rRNA from 1 species